rnacentral:antisense_RNA from 1 species
CCCCGCACCAAAGGCUCACCUGUGGGACCGCGUUGUCAGUCUCGGCGCCUGCGCUCCGCUCCAGGAAGAAAGCGCCAAGGCGAGGCAUGGCGGUCUCCGUGCGCACCGGCAGCUUCUCGUGGGACAUCAGGAUGUCGUCCAAAGAAAGAAAGUUCUCCUCAGGCCCCAGCGCACCCGACUCCACUCGGAAAUAAGCCUCCGACAUGGCGGCCACUUGAGCUUCUCCGCUUCCACUCGCGUGAUUCGGAGGAGCCUCAGGAGUUAGGUGUGUACAAGACGGGGAAGCGGAAACCGGGCAGAUGGUUGGGGUCAGGAAAGUGGAUUGAAACUCGUUUCCCGCGCCUGGGGACGCAUCAGACAGGAGCAGUCGAUUCGGGCGGUACCGCCCAGGCAGAAGCAAUCGAUCAAGUCUGCAGCUUUAGAGCAGCGGGACACGGCUGGGGAGCGGUAGGUGGGGGCGCCGGAAGUUCUCUUCCCUCCGCUUGUUGCACGGUGUGGGAACUUUACGAAGAAGCUGGAACGCUCGUUGAAGCUCCUGGACCCAUUUGUACUGGAUUGUGUUCAUGUGAUCCUUAACUAUUUAUAUGAAAUUAAAAACACUUUGCAACACUUUUAGGAGUUUAAAAUAAAGGCAUCUUGUGCCCUUCACUCCA